rnacentral:rRNA from 1 species
AGAGUUUGAUCAUGGCUCAGAUUGAACGCUGGCGGCAUGCUUUACACAUGCAAGUCGAACGGUAACGCGGGUUUCGGCCUGGCGACGAGUGGCGAACGGGUGAGUAACACAUCGGAACGUGCCCGGGAGUGGGGGAUAACCUCGAGAAAUCGAGGCUAAUACCGCAUACGUCCUGAGGGAGAAAGCGGGGGACCGGUAACGGCCUCGCGCUCACGGAGCGGCCGAUGUCCGAUUAGCUUGUUGGUGGGGUAACGGCUCACCAAGGCGACGAUCGGUAGCUGGUCUGAGAGGAUGAUCAGCCACACUGGGACUGAGACACGGCCCAGACUCCUACGGGAGGCAGCAGUGGGGAAUUUUGGACAAUGGGGGCAACCCUGAUCCAGCCAUGCCGCGUGAGUGAAGAAGGCCUUCGGGUUGUAAAGCUCUUUCGGCCGGAACGAAAUCGCCCGGGUGAAUAAUCCGGGUGGAUGACGGUACCGGAAGAAGAAGCACCGGCUAACUACGUGCCAGCAGCCGCGGUAAUACGUAGGGUGCGAGCGUUAAUCGGAAUUACUGGGCGUAAAGCGUGCGCAGGCGGCUCUUCAAGUCAGGUGUGAAAGCCCCGGGCUUAACCUGGGAAUUGCGCUUGAAACUGGGGGGCUAGAGUGAGGCAGAGGGAGGUGGAAUUCCUGGUGUAGCGGUGAAAUGCGUAGAUAUCAGGAGGAACACCGAUGGCGAAGGCAGCCUCCUGGGCCAACACUGACGCUCAGGCACGAAAGCGUGGGGAGCAAACAGGAUUAGAUACCCUAGUAGUCC